rnacentral:rRNA from 1 species
AGAUUGAACGCUGGCGGCAGGCCUAACACAUGCAAGUCGAGCGGCAGCACGGGUACUUGUACCUGGUGGCGAGCGGCGGACGGGUGAGUAAUGCCUAGGAAUCUGCCUGGUAGUGGGGGAUAACGCUCGGAAACGGACGCUAAUACCGCAUACGUCCUACGGGAGAAAGCGAGGGGACCUUCGGGCCUUGCGCUAUCAGAUGAGCCUAGGUCGGAUUAGCUAGUUGGUGAGGUAAUGGCUCACCAAGGCGACGAUCCGUAACUGGUCUGAGAGGAUGAUCAGUCACACUGGAACUGAGACACGGUCCAGACU